AGGCACCUCUGGGGUAUCUCUUGCCACAACAGUUGCCCCUGGAAGCUUCAGCACAGAAGCCACAACUUCUGUAGGAGAAAAUGGAAAAACAAGAGGUGAAAUAAUCACAGAUACUACUGAGGGCACCUCUGGCAAAGUUCUGGAACCUGGAAGUGCCCACACAGAGGCCACAACUUUCCCAGGAGGCAGUGGGACUACCCGAGCAGGACCACCAGGAGGUACCACUGGAGAAUUGUCUAGAAUGACCAUUAUACCUGGAAGUUCUAACACAGAGGCCACAACUUCCACAAAAGGGACUGGUACUUCUGGAACUGGCUUCAAAACUGGCACCUCUUGGGUGGCGCCUGGCACAACAGUUUCCCCUGGAAGUUUCAGCACAGCCACAAUUUCCCCUGGAGCAAGUAGAACGACUGGGGCUGCACCUGCCGCAGAAACCACAACUUCCCUAGAAGGAGGUGGCACCACUGGAGCAGAAAUAAAAUCAGGAGCCACCUCCGGAGUACCGGGAAGUAAGACAGGCACAGCUGGAGUGCCCUCUGCUACAACAAUUGCCCCUGGGAGCUCCAACUCAGAGGCCACGACUUCUUUAGGAGAAAGUGGAAAAACAAGAGUUGAAACAAUCACAGGUACUACUGAGGGUAAAACUCUGGCAGCUGGAAGUGCCCACACAGAGGCCACAACUUUCUCAGGAGGCAGCGGGAGCACCCGAGCAGGACCACUGGGUGGCGCUUCUGGUACAUCAGGAGGAUAUGUCCCUGGAAGGGAAACAGAGCCCACAACUUCCAUUGAAGAAACUGGAACUUCCAGAACUAUAUUCAAAACUGUAGGCAUCACUUCAGCCCCAGGGAGGCAAGCAGGCACCUCUGUGGUGGCGCCUAGCACAACAGUUGCCCCUGGAAGUUUCAGCACAGCAGCCACAACUUCUCCUGGAGCAAGUGGAAUGACUGGGGUUAGAACCACUUCAAAGACUACAACUUCCCUAGGUGGAACUGGCACCACUAGAACUGAAAUAAAAUCAGGAGCCACCACUGGAGCACCAGGAAUUAAGACAGAUAUC
rnacentral:lncRNA from 1 species